rnacentral:rRNA from 1 species
AGAUUAAGUUAUUAAGGGCGCACGGUGGAUGCCUUGGCACUAGAAGCCGAUGAAGGACGUUACUAACGACGAUAUGCUUUGGGUAGCUGUAAGUAAGCGUUGAUCCAGAGAUUUCCGAAUGGGGGAACCCAGCAUGAGUUAUGUCAUGUUAUCGACAUGUGAAUUUAUAGCAUGUCAGAAGGCAGACCCGGAGAACUGAAACAUCUUAGUACCCGGAGGAAGAGAAAGAAAAAUCGAUUCCCUGAGUAGCGGCGAGCGAAACGGGAAGAGCCCAAACCAACAAGCUUGCUUGUUGGGGUUGUAGGACACUCUAUACGGAGUUACAAAAGAACAUGUUAGACGAAUCAUCUGGAAAGAUGAAUCAAAGAAGGUAAUAAUCCUGUAGUCGAAAACAUAUUCUCUCUUGAGUGGAUCCUGAGUACGACGGAGCACGUGAAAUUCCGUCGGAAUCUGGGAGGACCAUCUCCUAAGGCUAAAUACUCUCUAGUGACCGAUAGUGAACCAGUACCGUGAGGGAAAGGUGAAAAGUACCCCGGAAGGGGAGUGAAAGAGAACUUGAAACCGUGUGCUUACAAGUAGUCAGAGCCCGUUAAUGGGUGAUGGCGUGCCUUUUGUAGAAUGAACCGGCGAGUUACGAUCUGAUGCAAGGUUAAGCAGCAAAUGUGGAGCCGCAGCGAAAGCGAGUCUGAAUAGGGCGUUGAGUAUUUGGUCGUAGACCCGAAACCAGGUGAUCUACCCUUGGUCAGGUUGAAGUUCAGGUAACACUGAAUGGAGGACCGAACCGACUUACGUUGAAAAGUGAGCGGAUGAACUGAGGGUAGCGGAGAAAUUCCAAUCGAACUUGGAGAUAGCUGGUUCUCUCCGAAAUAGCUUUAGGGCUAGCCUCAAGUGAUGAUUAUUGGAGGUAGAGCACUGUUUGGACGAGGGGCCCCUCUCGGGUUACCGAAUUCAGACAAACUCCGAAUGCCAAUUAAUUUAACUUGGGAGUCAGAACAUGGGUGAUAAGGUCCGUGUUCGAAAGGGAAACAGCCCAGACCACCAGCUAAGGUCCCAAAAUAUAUGUUAAGUGGAAAAGGAUGUGGCGUUGCCCAGACAACUAGGAUGUUGGCUUAGAAGCAGCCAUCAUUUAAAGAGUGCGUAAUAGCUCACUAGUCGAGUGACACUGCGCCGAAAAUGUACCGGGGCUAAACAUAUUACCGAAGCUGUGGAUUGUCCUUUGGACAAUGGUAGGAGAGCGUUCUAAGGGCGUCGAAGCAUGAUCGCAAGGACAUGUGGAGCGCUUAGAAGUGAGAAUGCCGGUGUGAGUAGCGAAAGACGGGUGAGAAUCCCGUCCACCGAUUGACUAAGGUUUCCAGAGGAAGGCUCGUCCGCUCUGGGUUAGUCGGGUCCUAAGCUGAGGCCGACAGGCGUAGGCGAUGGAUAACAGGUUGAUAUUCCUGUACCACCUAGUAUCGUUUUAAUCGAUGGGGGGACGCAGUAGGAUAGGCGAAGCGUGCUGUUGGAGUGCACGUCCAAGCAGUAAGGCUGAGUGUUAGGCAAAUCCGGCACUCAUAAGGCUGAGCUGUGAUGGGGAGAGGAAAUUGUUUCCUCGAGUCGUUGAUUUCACACUGCCGAGAAAAGCCUCUAGAUAGAUAACAGGUGCCCGUACCGCAAACCGACACAGGUAGUCAAGAUGAGAAUUCUAAGGUGAGCGAGCGAACUCUCGUUAAGGAACUCGGCAAAAUGACCCCGUAACUUCGGGAGAAGGGGUGCUCUUUAGGGUUCACGCCCAGAAGAGCCGCAGUGAAUAGGCCCAAGCGACUGUUUAUCAAAAACACAGGUCUCUGCUAAACCGUAAGGUGAUGUAUAGGGGCUGACGCCUGCCCGGUGCUGGAAGGUUAAGAGGAGUGGUUAGCUUCUGCGAAGCUACGAAUCGAAGCCCCAGUAAACGGCGGCCGUAACUAUAACGGUCCUAAGGUAGCGAAAUUCCUUGUCGGGUAAGUUCCGACCCGCACGAAAGGCGUAACGAUUUGGGCACUGUCUCAACGAGAGACUCGGUGAAAUCAUAGUACCUGUGAAGAUGCAGGUUACCCGCGACAGGACGGAAAGACCCCGUGGAGCUUU